rnacentral:rRNA from 1 species
GUGCCAGCAGCCGCGGUAAUACGUAGGGGGCAAGCGUUAUCCGGAUUUACUGGGUGUAAAGGGAGCGCAGACGGCCAAGCAAGUCUGAAGUGAAAUGCAUGGGCUCAACCCAUGAAUUGCAUUUGGAAACUGUUAGGCUUGAGUGUCGGAGAGGUAAGCGGAAUUCCUAGUGUAGCGGUGAAAUGCGUAGAUAUUAGGAGGAACACCGGAGGCGAAGGCGGCUUACUGGACGACAACUGACGUUGAGGCUCGAAGGCGUGGGGAGCAAACAGGA